AUUGAACGCUGGCGGCAGGCCUAACACACGCAAGUCGAGCGGAUGAAGGGAGCUUGCUCCUGGAUUCAGCGGCGGACGGGUGAGUAAUGCCUAGGAAUCUGCCUGGUAGUGGGGGAUAACGUCCGGAAACGGGCGCUAAUACCGCAUACGUCCUGAGGGAGAAAGUGGGGGAUCUUCGGACCUCACGCUAUCAGAUGAGCCUAGGUCGGAUUAGCUAGUUGGUGGGGUAAAGGCCUACCAAGGCGACGAUCCGUAACUGGUCUGAGAGGAUGAUCAGUCACACUGGAACUGAGACACGGUCCAGACUCCUACGGGAGGCAGCAGUGGGGAAUAUUGGACAAUGGGCGAAAGCCUGAUCCAGCCAUGCCGCGUGUGUGAAGAAGGUCUUCGGAUUGUAAAGCACUUUAAGUUGGGAGGAAGGGCAGUAAGUUAAUACCUUGCUGUUUUGACGUUACCAACAGAAUAGGCACCGGCUGACUUCGUG
rnacentral:rRNA from 1 species